CCUACGGGUGGCAGCAGUGGGGAAUAUUGGACAAUGGGGGCAACCCUGAUCCAGCCAUGCCGCGUGUGUGAAGAAGGCCCUCGGGUUGUAAAGCACUUUCAGUGAGGAAGAACGCCUGGUGGUUAAUACCCAUCAGGAAAGACAUCACUCACAGAAGAAGCACCGGCUAACUCCGUGCCAGCAGCCGCGGUAAUACGGAGGGUGCGAGCGUUAAUCGGAAUUACUGGGCGUAAAGCGCGCGUAGGUGGCUUGAUAAGCCGGUUGUGAAAGCCCCGGGCUCAACCUGGGAACGGCAUCCGGAACUGUCAAGCUAGAGUGCAGGAGAGGAAGGUAGAAUUCCUGGUGUAGCGGUGAAAUGCGUAGAGAUCGGGAGGAAUACCAGUGGCGAAGGCGGCCUUCUGGACUGACACUGACACUGAGGUGCGAAAGCGUGGGUAGCAAACAGGAUUAGAUACCCUAGUAGUC
rnacentral:rRNA from 1 species